AAGUCGUAACAAGGUUUCCGUAGGUGAACCUGCGGAAGGAUCAUUAACACGUAUCCAACGGUAAACAACCCUGUGAACCUUGAACGUGCUCUCGCACACGCUCUAGCAGCAAUCCCUGGUAAAUCAUUGUUGACCAGCUAUUGAGUCAGGGACCUCUGCUUUAAAACGAUGCGAUACGGCCUGGCAUCCUAGCAAUCUGUCAGUGGUUGCGCAACACACGGCUGGCGACCGGGCCUCUGUGCUUCGGCACCUAACGACCCCAUGUUUCGUACCAACCGCACCACAAACUCGAACAACUGUUAACAAUGGAUAUCUUGGUUC
rnacentral:misc_RNA from 1 species